rnacentral:lncRNA from 1 species
UCUUCAUCUCUUUCUUUUCCUCUUGAUCAAUUGGAUGGUUUAUAUCCAUCUUGUUCAUGAUGCAUUGAUUGGUACUUAAUGAACUUUUAUCAUUUCAAAUCUACCUCCAAAUUGAUCAUGGAUCAUUUAAGGUACUUUGGAUUGAUGCAUAAGUUUGUCCUAAGUACUAUGAAGUACGGAUUUAAGUAAUGAACUAUCCUCCUAGCCUUUG